rnacentral:rRNA from 1 species
UAGGGAAUUUUCCACAAUGGACGAAAGUCUGAUGGAGCAACGCCGCGUGCAGGAUGAAGGCCUUCGGGUCGUAAACUGCUUUUAUGGGUGAAGAAUAAGACAGUAGCCCAAGAAUAAGGGACGGCUAACUACGUGCCAGCAGCCGCGGUCAUACGUAGGGUCCAAGCGUUAUCCGGAAUUACUGGGCGUAAAGAGUUGCGUAGGUGGCAGAGUAAGUAGACAGUGAAAUCGUGUGGCUCAACCAUACAUACAUUGCCUAAACUGCUCAGCUAGAAGAUGAGAGAGGUCGCUAGAAUUCCUAGUGUAGGAGUGAAAUCCGUAGAUAUUAGGAGGAAUACCGAUGGCGUAGGCAGGCGACUGGCUCAUUCUUGACACUAAGGCACGAAAGCGUGGGUAGCAAACAGGAUUAGAUACCCCCGUAGUCCCUGAGCGGGCUGGCAAGGCGCAU